rnacentral:rRNA from 1 species
UGCCAGCCGCCGCGGUAAGACAGAGGGUGCAAACGUUGUUCGGAAUUACUGGGCGUAAAGCGCGUGUAGGCGGCCGAGUAAGUCUGAUGUGAAAGCCCGGGGCUCAACCCCGGAAGUGCAUUGGAAACUGGCGAACUUGAGUACGGGAGAGGAAAGUGGAAUUCCGAGUGUAGGGGUGAAAUCCGUAGAUAUUCGGAGGAACACCAGUGGCGAAGGCGGCUUUCUGGACCGAUACUGACGCUGAGACGCGAAAGCGUGGGGAGCAAACAGGAUUAGAUA